rnacentral:tRNA from 1 species
GCGCUUAUGGUGGAGGGGUUAACAUACUUCCUUAGGGUGGAAGUGGUCCCCGGUUCGAGUCCGGGUGAGCGCC